rnacentral:rRNA from 1 species
CCUGGCUCAGAUUGAACGCUGGCGGCAUGCUUUACACAUGCAAGUCGAACGGCAGCGGGGGCUUCGGCCUGCCGGCGAGUGGCGAACGGGUGAGUAAUGCAUCGGAACGUGCCCAUGUCGUGGGGGAUAACGUAGCGAAAGCUACGCUAAUACCGCAUACGCCCUGAGGGGGAAAGCGGGGGAUUCUUCGGAACCUCGCGCGAUUGGAGCGGCCGAUGUCGGAUUAGCUAGUAGGUGAGGUAAAGGCUCACCUAGGCGACGAUCCGUAGCGGGUCUGAGAGGAUGAUCCGCCACACUGGGACUGAGACACGGCCCCAGACUCCUACGGGAGGCAGCAGUGGGGAAUUUUGGACAAUGGGCGCAAGCCUGAUCCAGCCAUGCCGCGUGAGUGAAGAAGGCCU